CCUAACCUCCAACCACCAUAUCUUUUUCAUUUGGACACCGAUUUCGACUAAUCUUAUAUAAAAAUUCAUGCCGUCGUCGCGCCCAACAUUUUUGUCACCUUUGAAUCUCUGAACAACCACUGCACCAGGCAGAUUGAAGGCGAAGAAAUAAGUCACCUUCGCUGGAAAGUUCGAAUUUCCGGCCAAACUGACGGGAAAUGGGUCUCGGCCCAACAGAUAAAGUUGAUCCUCUCCUCACGGGCUUUCUACCUAUACUCGAUUUGUUGACUGGACGAGGAAUCGAAGCUCAGCUGCAAGUUAGGACAUGAAUACGGACGAAUUUUGGGUGCAAGGUCCUUCAGACAGUCUAGACACUUAAGAGAGCAUCCUCCUCACGACGAGGACAGAGCGGAGUUCCUGGUUUGGGUUGUGUGCUGAUGCAUCAUGGGAGAGUCAUUGCAUGUGCUUCCAAACAACUUAAAUCCCAUGAAAAGAUUUAUCCCAUUCAUGACCUGGAGUUAGCUGCAGUGGUAUUUGCUUUGAAGAUUUGGAGACAUUACCUCUACGAAGAAACAUGUCGUAUCUUCACAAAUCACAAAAGCUUCAAGUAUGUCUUCACUCGGAAGGAAUUGAAUAUGAGAUAGAUGAGGUGGAUGGAGCUGAUUAGUGAUUACAACUGCACCAUUGAGUAUCAUCCUGACAAAGUUGAUGUGGUGGUCAACGCUCUUAGUCGGAAAUCAUAUUGGCAAUUGACAUUUAUUCGUGCAAUUUAUAUUCCAUUGUUAAUAAAGUUGAGGAGCACGUGUGUGAUCUUCGUUGUAGAUUAUCAAGGAGCCUUACUAGCUUAUUUUUAGGUUAGACUUGUUCUUACCAAUAGAGUUCGAGAAGCUCAAGAUUAGGAUCCCCAGUGUGUGCAACUAAAGGGGGAAGUCCUCAGUGGAAUGAGAACAUAUCUCAUUGUCAGCAAAGAUGGGACUUUGAUGAUGGGUAGCAGACUUUUUGUACCAAAGGAGAAUGGUGAAUUAAAGAAGAGAUCCUAAUUCAGCUUA